UUCUCCAAGAGUCCAAGACCCAGACCUCUUUGCGGUGCAAACUUUAUGCUGCAAAACGCGAGUGUGAACAUGACAAUGCAUAUUCAAGGACUUCUUAUCAAGUCAAAAUGGGUUAGCAGUUAGGUGCAGCUUAGAAUUCAUGCUAAUGGUUUCCCUGCCGCAUACUUUGUACUAAAUCAGCGACACUUACUUUGGGACUUUGGGACGGAGGGAGUGGUUCAUGUCUAUCGGUGUUGCAAAAACUCAAUGUGCUACAAACCACGGUUAGUCCAUGCUUAAAAGAUGAUGGAAGAGAAGCACGCAUACUGCAAUUGAAAUGAGUUAUGAAGCCACUCGUUGGUUACUUCGUUGUUCCAACAUUCAGCUCCACAGAUAACUAGCCUCCUGCGCUCCUUGCCUUCUUUGCAAACUUCUCAGGUCUCAGGUCCUGCGCUCCUUGCCUUCUUUGCAAACUUCUUCUCAGGUCUCAGGUCUUCGUUGUAGCCCGUUACACCAAUCACGACCUCUAUUCCUAUUCAAAACAAGCAGCACAUAAACUGAUCUACACACCAUUAGAGCGAAACAUAGCUUGGUUCUUACUGUUGUCAGCAAGAUUGCAAUCGGUUAGCAACUGUUGAGAAUCAUGAAUUCUCAAUGACCAACACACGCACACAUUGACUGAUUUCACAUACUUUUGAAUCUAUAUCCAGUUUCUUGAGUUGCCAGGGCUUUGUCUGAAACUCAUCAGUAGAAAUCAUGCCAUGUCAUGAGAACAUAUAGGUCAUUACUGAACAAUGCAAGCUGCCCCAUGAUUUCCAUCAAAUCUUCAAAAUGAUUCUGUAGCUCUUAAAUCUCAAUCUGAGCUUGUUCCCCCUUCUUUACAGUAGCCAAGCCUCAACAGCACCUUGAAGCAUUCCGAUCAGCAAAGCAGGAAAAGGUUGCGGCGGUACUGAUCCAGUCGGUCCUGUCUUCAUGCUUCCAAGGCAUGGUCUGUUCUUGCCAAGAAGGCUCGGUUGUGCAUAAUUCAUGAUAUUGUAAGUUUCAGAGUGAAAACACAAUGGAAGAUAUGAACAACUCCUGCAUCUGCCAAAACAACAUUUUUAUUUUGUCCCAAUCAAAUACAACAGGCUUUCAUGUAUGAAAUGGCUACACAAAUGUUAU
rnacentral:lncRNA from 1 species